rnacentral:lncRNA from 1 species
AAUAAAAUAUAAUAAUAAAAAUAGAGUAUGAAGAACCCACGCAAAUGACGUUACAAGCUGACUGUGUGGCGAGCGUCACACAAGCCGUCACGGUCGUCACACCAAGUGCCUGUGACGCCCGUCACACCCCUGUCCCGAGCGUAACACCUUCAGACUAGGUGAACGUUAGUAGCCGUUGGAGACACGACCGUUACACCACCCACUUUUUACCUUCCCCAUUUA